rnacentral:lncRNA from 1 species
CACAUCACAUGAGCCAUUUCUACAUGUUUAGAAUCAGUAAAGUAUCUGGAAUUCGAAAGAAAAGAAGGAAAUAGAGUGAGCUAUCAACAAGGUUAGUCAGCAGGGAAUUAACACUAGCAGCAACAACAAUCAAACCCAGCAAAUGACACGAAUAGACCAGGAGAACAACUUCGAAACCCAACAGCAAAAUAACCUAGACUCAAUGACCAAAACUAAUAAAAUUCAGCCCCCAAAUCAAUGAAACAAUGGUCUUCUACAAAACUCAAAGCAAAAACCCUUUCGAAUCAAACCCUCUCAAAAACUUAGUAAAUCAAGGGGUAUUUUCAGUGAGUUUGAUUUUUUAUCAUAAAAGACUGAAUUCAAUAGAGUAGUAAAAAAUUCUCAGCAGUCCUAUUUUUCAUAUUUUUCGAUCUCUCCAAAACCCUCUCUUCAAAGACAAGAAUCAUACCUUAUAUAGGUUCAACCAUAGGGCAGCCCUUAAGGGUUCAAUUAUUU